GACUGGCUGACCCCAGACUGUGCUACCUUCUAGAUGGCAUCCUCUUCAUAUAUGGAGUCAUCAUCACGGCCCUAUUCCUAAGAGCAAAGUUCACCAAGACUGCCAGAGUUUCUGCCUACCAACAAGAUCAGAACCAACUCUACAAUGAGCUCUCCAUGGGACGAAGAGAAGAAUAUGACAUUUUAGAUAAGAGAAGAGGCCGUGACCCCGA